GAAACAGGGACUUCCCGCAAGGGACUGGUGUAGAGGUGCUGCAUGGCUGUCGUCAGCUCGUGCCGUGAGGUGUUGGGUUAAGUCCCGCAACGAGCGCAACCCUUACUCGUAGUUGCCACCCGCAAGGGGGAACUCUACGAGGACUGCUCCGGAUAACGGAGAGGAAGGUGGGGAUGAGGUCAAGUCAGCAUGGCCUUUAUGUCCAGGGCUACACACGUGUUACAAUGCGCGCUACAAAGCGUCGCGAACCCGCGAGGGGGAGCUAAUCGCAAAAAAGCGCGCUCAGUUCGGAUUGCAGUCUGCAACUCGACUGCAUGAAGCCGGAAUCGCUAGUAAUGGCGCAUCAGAACGGCGCCGUGAAUACGUUCCCGGGCCUUGUACACACCGCCCGUCACAUCACGAAAGUGGGCUGUACUAGAAAUCGCCAAGCUAACCGCAAGGAGGCAGGCGCUCAAGGUAUGGUUCAUGACUGGGGUGAAGUCGUAACAAGGUAGCCGUAA
rnacentral:rRNA from 1 species